rnacentral:rRNA from 1 species
CCUACGGGUGGCAGCAGUGAGGAAUAUUGGUCAAUGGACGAGAGUCUGAACCAGCCAAGUAGCGUGAAGGAUGACUGCCCUAUGGGUUGUAAACUUCUUUUAUAUGGGAAUAAAAUGUUCCACGUGUGGGAUUUUGUAUGUACCAUAUGAAUAAGGAUCGGCUAACUCCGUGCCAGCAGCCGCGGUAAUACGGAGGAGCCGAGCGUUAUCCGGAUUUAUUGGGUUUAAAGGGAGCGUAGGUGGAUUGUUAAGUCAGUUGUGAAAGUUUGCGGCUCAACCGUAAAAUUGCAGUUGAAACUGGCAGUCUUGAGUACAGUAGAGGUGAGCGGAAUUCGUGGUGUAGCGGUGAAAUGCUUAGAUAUCACGAAGAACUCCGAUUGCGAAGGCAGUUCACUGGACUGCAACUGACACUGAGGCUCGAAAGUGUGGGUAUCAAACAGGAUUAGAUACCCUAGUAGUC